UGUGUCACUGUGUCCUUGUGUCCUCAUGUCCCCAUGUCUCCACAUUGCUACUUCCCCAUGUCCCCAUGUCCUCAUGUCACCAUGUCCCCAUGUCCCUAUGUUCUCAUAUCCUCAUGUCCUCAUGUCACUGUGUCCUCGUGUCCUCAUGUUCUCAUGUCCCCAUGUCCUCGUGUCCUUGUAUCAUCAUGUCCUUAUGUCCUCAUAUCCUCAUUUCCCCAUGUCCUCAUGUCCCCGUGUCCUUAUGUCCCUGUGUCUCCAUGUCACCACCAUCCCCGUGUCCCCAUCUCCCCGUGUCCUCAUCUCCCCAUGUCCCCAUGUGCCCAUGUCCCCAUCACUCCUAUGUUCCCAUGUCCCCAUGUUCCUGUGUUCCCAUCUCCCCAUCUCCCCAUGUCCCUGUGUCCCGUGUCCCACUCUCCCCAUGUCCUCCUCUCCCUCUGUCCCCCUGUCCCCAUGUCCCCACAUCCCAACAUCCCCGUGUCCCCAUGUCCCGGUGUCCCCAUCUUCCCGUGUCCCGGUGUCCCCUCACCCCGGGCGGGAUGCGGUAGUCCUGCAGGAUGACCUCGUGCGUGGUGUACCUCUGCAGGGUCACGGCCACCGGGUGCAGCCUGCGCGACAGUGACAGUGACACCGCGGGCUUGGGGACGCUCCGGGGAGGAAGGGCGUGUCCUCCUCCCCUGAGCCCCUCCUCCUCCUCCUCCUCCUCCUCCUCACCUGAGUGUCUCCUUGAUGGCGGCCUUGAGCAGCCGUGUGGAUUUCAGCAUCUUCUCGCGGUCGCCGCCCGCCUCGCGUUUGGCUGCCAGGACCUCGGCCCGCAGCUGCUCCUGCACUCCCGGGGCCCGCGCCAGCUCCAGCAUGGCCCACUGCAGGGUCAUGGACGUCUGGGGGACACACACAGGGGACACAGCUGCCAGGACCUGCUCCUGCUGGCCCGCAGCUGCCAGGUGCUCUUCCCUGCCAGGACCUGCUCAGCCCUGCCAGGACCUGCUCCUGAUGGCCCAGAGCUGCCAGGACCUGCUCAGCCCUGUCAGGACCUGCUCAGUGCUGCCAGGACCUUCUCCCUGCCCAGCUUGGUGCUGCCCCACCCAUCACCAACCAGGACCUUCUCCCUGCCUGUCCCAUUACCAGCCAGGACCUUCCCCUUGCCUGCCCCACCCAGGACCAGCCACGACCUUCUCCCUGCCCAAUCCAGAACCUUCUCCCUCCCUGCACCACCCAGGACCUUCUCCCCGCCUGUCCCAACACCAACACUAACCCCAACCAGGACCUUUUCCCUGUCCCAUCCAUCACCAACCAGGACCUUCUCCCUGACCCAUCCAACACCAUGGCCUUCUCCCUGCCCAAUCCAGAACUUUCUCCCUCCCUUCUCCACCCAGGACCUUCUCCCUGACCACUCGUCACCAGCCAGGACCUUCCCCCUGUUUGUCCCAACACCAACCAGGACCUUCUCCCUGCCCCAACCAAGACCUUCUCCCUGUCCAACCCAGGACAUUCUCCCUGCCUGUCCCAGAACCACCCAGGACCUUCUCCCUGUCCCACCUACCAUCAACCAGGACCUUCUCCCUGUCCCAUCACCACCCAGGACCUCCUCCACGCCUGUCCCAUCACCACCCAGGACCUUCUCCAUGCCUGUCCCAUCACCACCCAGGACCUUCUCCCUGUCCCAUCACCACCCAGGACCUCCUCCACGCCUGUCCCAUCACCAUCCAGGACCUUCUCCAUGCCUGUCCCAGAACCACCCAGGACCUUCUCCCUGUCCCACCCAGCAUCAGCUAGAACCUUCUCCCUGUCCCAUCACCAUCCAGGACCUUCUCCAUGCCUGUCCCAGAACCACCCAGGACCUUCUCCCUGUCCCAUCACCACCCAGGACCUUCUCCAUGCCUGUCCCAUCACCAUCCAGGACCUUCUCCAUGCCUGUCCCAUCACCACCCAGGACCUUCUCCAUGCCUGUCCCAUCACCACCCAGGACCUUCUCCCUGUCCCUCCAUCACCACCCAGGACCUUUUCCCCGCCCACCCAGGCCCUUGUCCCUGUCCCUGUCCUGUCCCCAGGCCGCACCGUGUCCACGCCCCCUGCCAUCAUCUCGGUGACACUGGCACGGAUGUCGUCCAGGGGCAGCUUGUCGCGCAGGAUGAGGUUGCCCAGGAUGCCCACGUGCUCCUGGCGGCUCUUGCGCGACAGCCGCAGGUCCCGGUACACGUUCUGGAUGCACUUGUCCGCUGCGGGGACACGGGGACACCGAGGAGGGGACAUCAGUGUCACCCCCUGGAGGUGUCAACGUGGGGGAAAUGGAUUUGUAGGAGAUUUUAAUAUUUAUGUGUAAAUUUUGAGGUAAGAAACGUUGAUUUAGGAACGUUCUGGAAGAGGAUGGAUGAUGUUGAGAGAGAAGUUGGGUUGGGAAUGAGUUUUGGAGGGUGGGUUUGUGAGAAAGGUCGGAAAUUUUGGAGAAGAGGGAUGAUGGAAGGUGGGUGCAGUGGGAUUUGUCAGGGGUGGUUUCAGAUGGUUUGAUGUGUCUGUGGGGCGGGGUGGGAAAAAUGAGUGAAAAAAUGGUUAUGCGGUGACCACAGGGGUGGCAGAGCAAGGUGUCCCCAGAGGUGACAGGGCAAGGUAAUGAGGCAAGGUGUCCCUAGAGGUGACAGGGUGAGGUGGCAGGGGGACAUGACAGGGUGAGGUGGCAGGGCAAGGUGACAGGGCAAGGUGUCCCCAGAGGUGACAGGGUGAGGUGACAGGGUGAGAUGUCCCCAGAGGUGGAAGGGCAUGGUGAGAGGGCGAGGUGUCCCCAGAGAGGUGUCCCCAGACGUGGCAGGGUGAGGUGACAGGACAAGGUCACAGGGUAAGGUGUCCCCAGAGGUGACAGAGUGAGGUGGCAGGGCAAGGUGUCCCCAGAGGUGACAGAUUGAGGUGACAGGGUGAGAUGACAGAACGAGGUGUUCCCAGAAGUGACAAGGCAUGGUGGCAGGGUGAGGUGACAAGUCAAGGUGUCCCCAGAGGUGGAAGAGCAAGGCAGCAGA
rnacentral:lncRNA from 1 species